rnacentral:rRNA from 1 species
AGACGACGACGGGUAGCCGGCCUGAGAGGGCGACCGGCCACACUGGGACUGAGACACGGCCCAGACGCCUAMGGGAGGCAGCAGUGGGGAAUAUUGCACAAUGGGGGAAACCCUGAUGCAGCGACGCAGCGUGCGGGAUGACGGCCUUCGGGUUGUAAACCGCUUUCAGCAGGGAAGAAGCGCAAGUGACGGUACCUGCAGAAGAAGUACCGGCUAACUACGUGCCAGCAGCCGCGGUAAUACGUAGGGUACGAGCGUUGUCCGGAAUUAUUGGGCGUAAAGAGCUCGUAGGUGGUUGGUCACGUCUGCUGUGGAAACGCAACGCUUAACGUUGCGCGUGCAGUGGGUACGGGCUGACUAGAGUGCAGUAGGGGAGUCUGGAAUUCCUGGUGUAGCGGUGAAAUGCGCAGAUAUCAGGAGGAACACCGGUGGCGAAGGCGGGACUCUGGGCUGUAACUGACACUGAGGAGCGAAAGCAUGGGGAGCGAACAGGAUUAGAUACCCUGGUAGUCCAUGCCGUAAACGUUGGGCACUAGGUGUGGGGGGCAUUCCACGUUCUCCGCGCCGUAGCUAACGCAUUAAGUGCCCCGCCUGGGGAGUACGG